rnacentral:rRNA from 1 species
UACGUAUGUGGCGAGCGUUGUUCGGAAUUACUGGGCAUAAAGGGUUCGUAGGCGGAUUUGUUAGUUGGGUGUGAAAUCCCGGGGCUUACCCCCGGAACUGCAUUCAAUACUGCAAAUCUGGAGUCCUUCAGGGGUAAGUGGAAUUCCAUGUGUAGCGGUGAAAUGCGUAGAUAUAUGGGAGAACGCCAAUGGCGAAGGCAGCUUACUGGGGAGAGACUGACGCUGAGGAACGAAAGUUAGGGGAUCGAACGGG